GACAGAGGGUGCAAACGUUGUUCGGAAUUACUGGGCGUAAAGCGCGUGUAGGCGGCUAAGUAAGUCGGGCGGUGAAAUCCCACGGCUCAACCGUGGAAGUGCACUCGAAACUGCAUAGCUAGAGUCCUGGAGAGGAAGGUGGAAUGCUUGGUGUGAGAGGUGAAAUUCGUAGAUAUCAAGCGGAACACCGGUGGCGAAGGCGGCCUUCUGGACAGUGACUGACGCUGAGACGCGAAAGCGUGGGGAGCAAACAGG
rnacentral:rRNA from 1 species